rnacentral:misc_RNA from 1 species
CUGCGGCGUAGCAGUAGAGUAUGGGCCGGUGUGGCGGGCGCACAGUUCUUUCAAAACGGGUAGCUCGCGUUAUCAAUUAACAUUAACUGCGUGGUGCCUCCCUCCUCUCUCUGCCUCUCUCUCUUUCUCUCUCUCUCUCUUUCUCUCUCCUCCCCUCCCCUCCCCUCGGUGUCCCCGACCCCUCACCUGCUGUCACAGUUUCGACAUCGCGUCGCGAUUCAUCGCGGUGGAGUGUAUCAUAACAAUAACAAGAGUCGAACGUCGGCGGGUCUUUUUUACUCGAGGCGCGCGUACCGGAGGCGCACAUGGAGCACGUCGAACGGCGCGUAGACGUCGCCCGCGAUACGAGAUCGUCGCCGUCGUGUUGGCUCGCUGACCGCGGCUGGAGCCACGCGUGAAAAAGCGUGUAAGGGUUUCCGCAUAAGUGUGACGAAUCUCCGGUGCGGUCUCGGUUCCGUCACAACGCGGUUUUCUCGGGGCGCCGAGUCGCGCGCGCGGCGGCCGCCCCCGCGAACGCGAACGGCCCUACGAGGAUCGAAAAGAUGUGACCGCGAAACCGCGUGCGGUGCGAUCGCGGUGCGACGAACGGGAAAAAUAGUGCGGAAAAGUGAGAGAAAGUGCGACAGACGAGAGGGAAAAAUGACUCGCCGCAGUGGCCGGUACUCCGCGAGGACAGUGUUGCUGACGUCGUUCCUGCUGACUUCCGUACUACUGGUGCUGGCGACCGAGGACACCGCGACCUUGGAGUACGACGAGCCCCUUCCGGCAGCCGGCGAUCGUCCGCAUGUUGAUUCAGACGCACCGGCCGUGGAGCAGCGCCAAGGACGCGUGUCCUUGCACGUGGAGAUGCCGUCGAAGGCCAAGCGCGAGCAGGCGUUGCGCAACAUCCUGGCCAGGAGGCGGCAGAUCCUGAGCCAACGUUCGCAUGAGCCGCCUCGGCUCUUCCCGAGUCGCACGGCGCGGCCGAGCGACGCCGUCUCGAAGGAUCUCCCGGACAUCCUGGAGACCCAAGAGACCCGGCACGGCGUCUACGUGAGCAGUGCGCGAACGGAAGCGUCGGUGGACGAGGAGACUCUCCAGUCGCCGAAGAAGCCGAUCGAAAAGACCGCGAUCGAGUCGGAAGCGGAAGAAGCCCCUCGGAAGGCGCUCGGGAACGACAGCAGCUCGUCGUCGUCGCCGAUGACCACCGAGAGUCAUGAGCUCGUCUCCCUGACGAGCACGUCCGUCGGCCAGAAGUCAAACGAGCCGGACGCGCGACGGAAGAACACCGUGGCGAUGUCGGAGUCGCUGUACAAACACUUCCGCCCGGUGGAGAGCAACAUCCCGGUCGAGGACAUGUCGCAGUUCCUGUACUUCGGCCAAAAGCUGCAGCCGGACGCUGCGCAGAACGGCAGCAGCAUCGGCUCCGGCAACACCUCCAGCCCCAACUCCGUGGAGACGACGUCGACGGUCGCGAGCUCGCGCAGGAGGUACUCUGCGAAGAGACCAGGCGCCACGCAGAUGGCGGCCGGUCCGGUGGAGGAGAUCGUGAACGAGGAGAUGAACAUCGCGCUGGAGCGCCGCACAGUCGAGAAGAAUCAAGUGUCCAGGAUCAAGAACUCCUACAGGAGCUCAGGUAGCGGACUGUACUUCCGGAAAGCGAGGCCCGCGGACGUGGGGUCCAACGUGAUUCCGGGCAACGUCCUGUCGAGUCCUGCGCUCGGCGGCUCGGACGCCAAGAGCGAGAUCAACACGGUGGACGAGAAGCUGCGCGCCGACCCGUCCGCUCACGCGGACCGGGCCACGCGGGAGAGAGGAAGCGAAGCCCACGUGGCUGAGCCGAGCAUGACGACCCAGAUUCCACGGCAACGUCAGCGGCAGCUUUCGGCCGCGGACGGUAACGUGGACGACGGCGACGCGAAGAGCGAGCUGAAGACGGACGAGACGGCUCGCGCGGACACUUCGCGCGGAGUCGCCGAGGGCGGUCGGAAGAGAACGAGUGACCUUGGCGGGAACGUCGCAGAAUUCAAGACCGAAAAACAGAGGGAAGCUGAAGAAGAAACAGUCGACGGAGCGAAGACGGGGCCGACAACCGCGGAGAAGCCGCCGGAACAGAAGACGGCGACUGGUGACCUCGAAGUGACCACCUCAUCAGCACCAGAAGCCAGCUCGAGGUCUCGCGACAACAACAGCAACAUCAUCGAGACGUCGCCGGCGACGCGCGACGCCGACACGAAGACGAGCCCGUCGCAGCGCGCCGAGUCGUCGACGCUGCGGAUCGUCGUGCCGGACGAGAGCUUCGGGCGCAGUUUCGCGAUCGAGAGCGAGCGGGCUCGUCAAGGUACCGUUAAGCAACCGGUCGAUCCCGCGGCGGAUCGACCGGUUCGCGUGUCGGCCGCCAGCGACGUCGCCCCGAAAUCGCCGUCUUCUCCGUCGACCACGGUCGCACCUGCCGCCCCCAGUCGUCGUCAACAGCGGCAGCAACAGCAGCAACAAGCGCACCAGCAGCAACACGUGUAUGCUUACACGAUAACCAACGUGACGCGAUUGUUGCGCAACUACACCGGGUCUGGAUCCAGCGGCGAAGAACGAGGAGCUGGAGGAGGAGAAGGAGGAGCAGAAGGAGAAGGAGGAGGAGGAGGAGGAGGAAGAGGAGGAGAAGGUGAAGGUGGAGGAGAAACAGAAGGAGGCGCAGGUCGUCGUAGUAGCGGUGCCAAGAUAACGAGCGGUGAACCGUCGCAGCGGCGUCAGCAGCAACAGCAACAGCCGCCGCCGCCGCCGCCGCCGCCGCCGCAGUCUUCUCCUCUUCUGCUUCCUCGUGCUGGCGACGGUAUAGACCCGGCGCGAGCGCCGGCGGGACUCAGUGCUGGCGCGACCGUCGAGCCAGCCGCAACUGUUGGAACGUCGCCAGGUGCCGUGGUCGGUCUAGUGGGGGAACGAGCGAGGAAAGUAGUCCCGCAAGUGCAGCAGCAGCAGCAGCAGCAGCAGCAGCAACGCGUGACCAGUCAACGGGCGAUCUGGUCGGCGCAGGCAGCUCCGAACGACAGCCUCGCGCUGCCGACGUCGAGGCCCGCGAAGCCGACGGAGGCCGCGAGCAGCAGAGGCUCCGUGAGGUGGAGUCUCGUCAAGCCGAAGAUCAGCGAGCAAGAGGUUGCGAAUGACCGUAGAUUCCUGAGGAAGAGCGCUAGCGCGGUGCUGAACCAGCGCUCGACCGUCCACGAGGAGGUCCCGUCGCCGCUGGCGAGCAAGCGUCGUCGAGUGUUGACUUCUCCGAGUGGGCUGUCCACUUCGCCGCCAACGAGCAGAAGGGUGAAGUCGAGUGAGCGGCCCGAGGGUGCCAAGGUAGGCAGGGUGUUAGUGGUGGACGAUCGAUCGGACAACAGGACGGUUGCGAGUCGCGGCAAGGCUCCGGACGAUGAAGUGCCGGCUCCUGCGGAAGUCGCGCGCGCCAGCGGGCUGAACGAAGUGCCGCGCGACAGCAGUGUGCAGGAGACGACCGCGGUUAGCAGCAGCGUCCUCGCGACAGCAGCCAUGGUGAACUCGAGCCGCAACUCCAGCGCAACCGGCGAGGCGAUGGACGCGACCGAGCCGUCGGUGCUUUUAGACUCGGCCGCGACAACGGAGGAGGACAGGCCCGACGUACUCGUCGCGGACGAGGACGUCGUCACCGCAUCGAGUGCAGCCGACAGGGGUGGCGUCGGGCGUACCGUGACGCCCGACAAGGGCGAGAGUGACGCGAACACGACGACGAGCGAAGAGAUCGCGACGAUUGUGGCAGUGAGCGAGCAGGUCGCUGAGACGACGAUGAGCACGACGUCGACGACGUCUACGUCACCGGCGGCGCCGGUUUUCCCGGUCACGCCGAGGAUACUGGCGGAAACGGACAAGACCACCGCCGGGGAAGCUUCCACCCUGAGGCCGUCGGACGGCUCGAAGCCGCGGGAGGUGAAUAACCAGCCGUCCGGCAUUACGACCGACUUGGAUCCUUCGGAAAUCCAGAAGAGGUACCGAGCCAAGGAGAUGACCAGCGCCACGCCGGCUCCGCCGACGACAACGGCUUCGCCGGGCGGGGACGACUCUGGUCCCGCGGUCGACGCGAGCCCAAGCUCGACCGGCGAGCCGGAAGUGCCGAGCGUGUCGGCUUCAAAGGGGAGCGGAAGGCGCGUAUCCGGCGAGAGGUCGCCGGAAGUCCGAGCGCGCAACCUGUCGGACAAGUCGAAGGACAAGGACGAGGAUGUGCUGCCAAUCAUGCACUUGUACAACACGUCGGACAUCUUCAACGGCAGCGGGCCGAUGGACGGCUUCGCCCGCGGCACGGAGCGGCCACGGCUGGUGCUUCCGGUGAGCUCCGGCUCAAAGGACGAGGCGACGGCGGCUCCGACGCCCGCAAAGAAGAGCACGUCUGAGCCGGCUACGAGGCUGGCCGGUGCGACGGAAGUCGCUCCCGGCGGAAGCACGUCCACCACCACCGUCGCCAAAGCGAAGGAGCCCACCGCGAGCCCGCCGAGCUCUCGGAAGGACAAGCAUGAGGAGCAGCGCGAGUCGCAGGACACCAGCGCUCCAGCGUCCCGGGGAGCGUCCACCUUCGCGCCUGCGAGCGGUAACAGGACGAGGUACAGGCCGUCAUAUCACCACUCGAUCCUGCCGGAGUACAACGGCACGAUGUACUCCGCCGGGUUGAACAGGACGUUCCUCGAGAUCGGCCCGAUCUCGGUGAGCCCGCGCGAAUCGAUGAACAUCAGUGAGGUGAUAUCGAAGCGGCACGACGGCGACGCGAUCGCCACCCAGGAGACGGUCGCCGUGGUCAGCUACAUCUUGGCCACCCUCGUCGUCUUCCCCAUCGCCGUCGGCGUCGGGCUCAUACUCAGAAGACUGAUACUUAGGAAUCGUAAGGUGCUAGAGGAGUCGGACACGUCAUCGGAGAUAAGCUGCAGGAAGGACGCUCUUAAUCUCGAGAACGGCGACUUCAAGACGUCCAUCGAGAAGGCGAUCACGAAGCUACCGAGGAUACAGCACUUGUGUCACGAAGCUGAGAAACCGCCGCCUUCGUCGAGCCAGGAAUCCAGAUGGGAGUUUCCUAGAGAUAAGCUUAGGUUACAGACAGUCCUCGGGCAAGGAAACUUCGGCCAGGUGUGGAAAGCCGAGGCCGACGAUCUGACCGGUCAUCAAGGUACCACUCGCUUGGUAGCAGUGAAAACCGUCAAGGAAGGCGCCUCCGAUCGGGAGAAGGAGGACCUGGUCCGGGAACUCGAAAUCAUGCAGCAACUGGGGAGCCAUCCGAACGUUGUGACGCUUUUAGGCUGCUGCACCGAAGAAGAGCCUCAUUAUCUCAUACUGGAGUACGUCAUGUACGGCAAGCUGCUGGCGUACCUGCGCGACCACCGCACCAGACAGUACUUCUACAACUUCAGCGAGGACUCCGCGGCCUUGACGUCCAGGGACCUCACCGUUUUCGGCUAUUGCGUCGCCAGAGGCAUGGAGUACCUCGCGUCGAAGAAGAUCAUUCACCGCGACCUCGCCGCCAGGAACGUCCUCGUGGACCACAAUAAGCUGUGCAAGAUCGCCGACUUCGGCAUGUCGAGGUUCGCCAAUGAGGACGGGGAGGUGAUCGAGACCAGGCACGGCAGGAACGCCUUGCCCAUCCGAUGGAUGGCCCCCGAGUCCUUGAUCUACUCCCUUUUCACGACCAAGACAGACGUGUGGAGCUUCGGGAUCCUCAUGUGGGAGAUCGUCACUUUAGGCUCGACACCGUACCCGGAUAUGACGGCGCGGGAAGUCAUGCGGAACGUGCACAACGGUUAUCGGCUGGAGAGGCCUUCGCACUGCCGAAGCGAGCUCUUCAGGGUGAUAUCGCGCUGUUGGCACGCUGAUCCCGACCGCAGGCCGGAAUUCCAGACCCUACGCAGGGAUCUCGCUCAGCUGCUGGAGGACAACAUGAAUGGGCACUAUGUGGACCUCGAGAGCUUCGCUUCCGAGUGCACCGAUUGAGGCGAUCGCACCCUCCCCCUCUUCCCAUCAUCCCUCCCCCCAUCGUCGGGGGACGGAAAGGCACGUCGUUGGAUCCUCGCCGACCGCAUCGCCCCGACCGCCGUGGGAAAUCGAUUUCGCGCGGGAGACGCCGCGCUGACGCGCGAUUGAUGAUUGCGCCGUGCGAGAUAGAUGGAUGGAUGGACAGACGACGUGCGUCUUUCUUCCUCUCUCUCUCUCUCUCUCUUUCUCUCUCUCUCUCUCUCUCUCUCUCUCUCUCUCUCUCUUUCUCUCUCUCUCUCUCUCUCUCUUUUUUUGCUCAAGGAAGAGAGAAAGAGAAAGAAAGAGGGAGACGUUGCCGCGGUAGCUCGAUCCCCGCGAAAGCGAGUUCGGAAGCUCUGCUCUUCUGCGGGGAGAAGCACGAUGCCGAGAUCGCCGCAGGAGAAGUCGAGGGAGAUUUGAGAAUCCGCUUUCUUUUUUCCCUUUCAUGUUCACGCGGGUGGUGCUCUCGAGCUCGUCGAAGCUCUUAUCACGAGACGCUGGACUCUUAUCACUGGCGACUGUUGCGCGCGCGUGCACGCAACGAGAAUGGAAGCAUACGCUUGAGAAUGGAAGCAGGGAUGUUAAUUGAUCGGCAGUUUCUUUUUGUUUUUGGAGACGAAGGAGGAAUGUCGUCACGAACCGACGAUCUCUCGCCGAUUCGCUCGCGGUAAUCUGAAGGGUCGUUAAUUAGCUGUUAUCGAAGUUACGCUCGGUAAUACUGAGACGAAUCGAUCGUACAAAUCUAGACAGAUUGGCAGACAGGAAUUCAUCACUCUUCCGUCAAGACUUUUCUUCACGUUCUGUGAUUGGGAUGAAUGAGAUGUGUGAACGGUGACGAAUACUGUGAAUAGACUCGAAUAGACUGGACGAUUAGUGAGAAUCAGACUUUAUCCACGAAUCGAGAAAAAAGGUUGCGAGACCGCAGCGAACGGUCAUGCAUUUUCAACAGUUCCGUCCGAGAUCUGUCUUUCGCUUUCGGUACUUAUUUAUUACCCCGAAGCGCGAUUACGCACGCUUCGGGAAAUACAGGAAGUGGAGAAUUACAUAUUACGGAGGAAGAGUAACAGUCCGAAGACACAACGGGACUCGAUUCCGCGUCGAGACAUAUCUGUACAUAUUGUAUCCCUCGCGCUAUACAUAACUGUAGAUGUAUGCAGGACAGAAAUGCGAAACGCACUUUAUAUCCGCCGGAAAUCAAAGGAAGAAGCAAGUGUCCUCACACGUACACGUAUACACACAUACACGCACACGCAGACACACAAGCAGACAGACGUACAAUUUCUGUUAACGUACCGUUAAUAAUCUUAUCAUCGCUACAAUUAAUUAAUUAAUUGCUCGUUAGGUGUACGUGCAUCCAUGUUUCCAAUCGCGUCCGCCGCGUUUAUAUUCUUAAUCAUUCUAGUCUUUCGACGCGUUCUGGGGACGGCGAUUGGCAAUAUAUAUACAUAUAUCGUAUGUAAUCGCAAGCGCACGCCGUCUUUCAGCAUCUCCCUCGCGCCGACGAACGCCACGAAUCGUCCGAAGUUCGCUCGAAUCCCGGCGACAACAGGUGCGUCGCGCGAUCGCUCCGGAGAACGGAUUAUAGAAGCCCCCACCAGUUGAUUAUUUUAUUAAGUAUUUUUAUCUCGCUGUCUCUCUUUCUCUCUUUCUCUCCGAGAUGUCGUCGUUGGAAAAACUCCCGUCUACCGUUGUUGCUCGAGACGUCUCGUCGUUCUCGAAGUUCCGCUGCAUUUUAAACGUACAGGAAAAAUAAAGAAGAAGAAAGAAAGGGAGAAAGAGAGAGAGAGAGAGAGAGAGAGAGAGAGAGAGAGAGAGCUGUUACUUUCGCAGAAGAUCGGCUGCGAGCAACAUUGUAUGUAGACUUGAUUGUACUAAGAACUUUUGUCAGUAAACGUUGUGAGAAAACUUAAACGA